rnacentral:tRNA from 1 species
GGUGUCUCUAGUGUAGCGGGAACACGGCAGAUUGUGGAUCUGCAAUUCUGGGUUCAACUCCCAGGAGACUCCCCA